rnacentral:tRNA from 1 species
GCGGGAGUAACUCAGUUGGUAGAGUGACAGCCUUCCAAGCUGUAUGUCGCGAGUUCGAAUCUCGUCUCCCGCUCCA